rnacentral:misc_RNA from 1 species
UUUCCGUAGGUGAACCUGCGGAAGGAUCAUUAGUGAAUGAGACCACCGGUGUCAACCACCUGCUGCGGUCAGCUGUCCGCCUUCGGGGUUGCUCGAUGAAUGUAGCAGAUCCAUAACACACCUGUCCACCUUUCAGAUGUCUAGGGCUGAAAAGCCAUGCCGUUUCCCCUUUACACAAAUCUGAGUCUUUGAAUGUCAAAUAAACUAAAACAAAUACAACUUUCAACAACGGAUCUCUUGGCUCUC